rnacentral:rRNA from 1 species
UACGUAGGGGGCAAGCGUUGUCCGGAAUCAUUGGGCGUAAAGCGCGUGUAGGCGGUCCGGUAAGUCCGCUGUGAAAGUCGGGGGCUUAACCCUCGGAUGCCGGUGGAUACUGUCGGGCUUGAGUACGGAAGAGGCGAGUGGAAUUCCUGGUGUAGCGGUGAAAUGCGCAGAUAUCGGGAGGAACACCGGUGGCGAAGGCGGUUCUCUGGGCCUUACCUGACGCUGAGGAGCGAAAGCGUGGGGAGCGAACGGGAUUGAGAAACCCGUAGGUAGUCC